UGAGGAAUAUUGGUCAAUGGGCGAGAGCCUGAACCAGCCAAGUCGCGUGAAGGAUGACUGUCUUAUGGAUUGUAAACUUCUUUUAUACGGGAAUAACAAGAGCCACGUGUGGCUCCCUGCACGUACCGUAUGAAUAAGCAUCGGCUAACUCCGUGCCAGCAGCCGCGGUAAUACGGAAGGUCCAGGCGUUAUCCGGAUUUAUUGGGUUUAAAGGGUGCGUAGGCCGUUUGAUAAGCGUGCUGUGAAAUAUAGUGGCUCAACCUCUAUCGUGCAGCGCGAACUGUCGAACUUGAGUGCGUAUUAGGUAGGCGGAAUUCGUGGUGUAGCGGUGAAAUGCUUAGAUAUCACGAAGAACUCCGAUUGCGAAGGCAGCUUACCGUAGCGUUACUGACGCUUAAGCACGAAGGUGCGGGUAUCGAACAGGAUUAGAUACCCUGGUAGUCCGCACAGUAAACGAUGGAUGCUCGCUGUUGGCCUUUUUGGUCAGUGGCUUAGCGAAAGCGUUAAGCAUCCCACCUGGGGAGUACGCCGGCAACGGUG
rnacentral:rRNA from 1 species